AAAAAAGCUAAAGUUUUUGAAAAUAAAUCUUCUUCAAUGUAUGAUGAAACAGAUAAAACAAUUGAUUAUCCAAACGAAUACAAUCCAACUAGGAAACCUAAUGAUCAGAAAAAAUCAAAAAUUUCUGAAAACAAAACUCCUUUAACAUAUGACGAACCAGAGGAAACAAUUGAUGUUCCAAAAAAAAACAAUCGAAAAAAGAAACCUAGUGAUCAGAAAAAAACUAUAGAUUCUGAACACAAAACUUCUACAACAUAUGAUGAAACAGAUGAUACUAUUGAUUUUAUGAUUAAAAACAAUCCAACUCGGAAACCUUGUGAUCAGAAAAAAAAUAAAUUUCUGAAAAUGGAACUCCUUAAUCAUUUGAUAAAACAGAUGAAACAAUUGCUUAUCCAAAUAAAAACAAUCUAACUAGGAAACCUAAAGUUUUCGAAGCUUCUUUAUAAAAUUAAGCAUCAUUAUUGAAUACCAUGUUUCUCCUAUGCAGAUCUUAAAGAUUCUAAUUUUUCUGAAAAAGAAGCUCUUUCAAUGAAUGGUGAAACAGAUAAACCAAUUGAUAAUAUUAAUAAAAUCAAUCCAACUAAGAAACAUAGUGGUAUUUCUUUAUAAAGCUAGAUACAAUUAUAUUUCCUAUACUUUAAAAUGUUUAUUAAAUUAAAACUUAAAUAUACAUUAUACUUAUGUUUUAAUAUUUAUUGACUUUGAUUGUUUGUAGAUAGAAUAAAAUAAUGUAGAGUUUAAAAACCUUUUUUUCUAGAUCAUCAUCACCAUUUUUCCUUUGAGUUCCUAAUGGAGCAUAGGGCCUCAGCAACAAAAAUGCCACUCUCCAUGUUGUCUUGCUAGUUAUUUUAUGGCUUCUCAGCUCCUUAUUGUCCUCUCAGCUUCCUCUAGUAAAAUGGUUUGCCAUGUUCUUUAGGUCUUCCUCUACGCCUAGUUCCCUGUGGGUUCUACUCUAAGGCCAGGCUCAGUUGUUGUUAUCUUUUCUAAUGGUGUGAUCAAUCCAUCUCCACUUCCUCUCUAAGAUCUGCACCUUAUAUCCUUAUAUUUUUCUGCCUACUCAUCUCCCACAGUUUGGUGUUUUUUACUUUGUUGUACCAGUGUAUUUUUUAGGAUAUUUCUCAGGCAUCUGUUGAUGAAGGUAGACAUAAAAGUAGCAGAUUUUUUUUUCUAGAUAGAAUAGAAAAAAUUACUAAAAUUGUUAUUAGCCAUAAAACAAUGUGUUAUAUUUAAAAUAAACUAACGUGGGAUACUUGCGAAUACUUGUUUAGAUUGGAUAAACUAUAAUUUUAUUGAUAUAAAUAUAAUCAGAUUUAAUACAAUUUGCUAUUGA